rnacentral:rRNA from 1 species
GCAGUCGAACGAGCUGCGCCUAAUGAUAGUUGAUGCUUGCAUUAGCUUGACUUAAGUUAGCAGCGAGUGGCGAACUGGUGAGUAACACGUGGAUAACCUGCCCAGAAGAAGGGGAUAACACCUGGAAACAGAUGCUAAUACCGUAUAACAACGAAAACCACAUGGUUUUCGUUUGAAAGAUGGCCUUUGUGCUAUCGCUUUUGGAUGGAUCCGCGGCGCAUUAGCUAGUUGGUGAGAUAAAGGCUCACCAAGGCAAUGAUGCGUAGCCGACCUGAGAGGGUAAUCGGCCACAUUGGGACUGAGACACGGCCCAGACUCCUACGGGAGGCAGCAGUAGGGAAUCUUCCACAAUGGACGAAAGUCUGAUGGAGCAAUGCCGCGUGAGUGAAGAAGGGUUUCGGCUCGUAAAACUCUGUUGUUAGAGAAGAACGGGCGUGAGAGUAACUGCUCACGUCGCGACGGUAUCUAACCAGAAAGUCACGGCUAACUACGUGCCAGCAGCCGCGGUAAUACGUAGGUGGCAAGCGUUGUCCGGAUUUAUUGGGCGUAAAGCGAGCGCAGGCGGUCUUCUAAGUCUGAUGUGAAAGCCUUCGGCUUAACCGGAGAAGUGCAUCGGAAACUGGGAAACUUGAGUGCAGAAGAGGA